CGGAGGGUGCAAGCGUUAUCCGGAUUCACUGGGUUUAAAGGGUGCGUAGGUGGGUAAGUAAGUCAGUGGUGAAAUCUCCGGGCUUAACCCGGAAACUGCCAUUGAUACUAUUUGUCUUGAAUACUGUGGGGGUCAGCGGAAUAUGUCAUGUAGCGGUGAAAUGCUUAGAUAUGACAUAGAACACCAAUUGCGAAGGCAGCUGGCUACACAAAUAUUGACACUGAGGCACGAAAGCGUGGGGAUCAAACAGGAUUAGAUACCCUGGUAGUCCACGCCCUAAACUAUGGAUACUCGACAUUUGCGAUAAACUGCAAGUGUCUGAGCGAAAGCAUUAAGUAUCCCACCUGGGAAGUACGAUCGCAAGAUUG
rnacentral:rRNA from 1 species